rnacentral:rRNA from 1 species
GACGAACGCUGGCGGCGUGCUUAACACAUGCAAGUCGAACGGAAAGGCCCUGCUUUUGUGGGGUGCUCGAGUGGCGAACGGGUGAGUAACACGUGAGUAACCUGCCCUUGACUUUGGGAUAACUUCAGGAAACUGGGGCUAAUACCGGAUAGGAGCUCCUGCUGCCUGGUGGGGGUUGGAAAGUUUCGGCGGUUGGGGAUGGACUCGCGGCUUAUCAGCUUGUUGGUGGGGUAGUGGCUUACCAAGGCUUUGACGGGUAGCCGGCCUGAGAGGGUGACCGGCCACAUUGGGACUGAGAUACGGCCCAGACUCCUACGGGAGGCAGCAGUGGGGAAUAUUGCACAAUGGGCGGAAGCCUGAUGCAGCAACGCCGCGUGCGGGAUGACGGCCUUCGGGUUGUAAACCGCUUUCGCCUGUGACGAAGCGUGAGUGACGGUAAUGGGUAAAGAAGCACCGGCUGACUACGUG